UUUGCGCUCUGCUUCUCUUCCCCUGGAGUGACUGUGUGGUGGCUAGGACUGCGUCAGCCACGGUACAAUCAUGGGAUUAUUUUUAGGCUGGAGAUACACCUCGGGGAAGGUAGAGACACUAGCUGUGCUUUUGGUGGCCACAGCAGUCCAGGAAGAGGUAUCCUGUCAAACUUCCAUGAGAACUUCCAGCUACAACAAUGACCUUGAAUGGUGCUUGUCUUGAGGGAGGGUGAGAUCAAGCAGGCAGUAGAUACAGUGGAAACAAAAGCAUGUUUGAGUGGACACUUCUGCCUCUCCCUCAAGAGUUACCUGGUGUAGAAGCACCCUGGGAAGCACAGGGUCCUUUGGGACAUCAGGAUCUCAAACACUUCACAGCUCAGACUUGUAGAAAUGAGAAGCAUAAAAUCCCCCAGUAUGUCACUGAGACUGAAUUGUCUGGCAUCUAGAAGUGCAAGCCACAUGACUGCAGAGCGACAGAAGCAUGCAAAUCUCAGCAUUGCAGAAUGACUGCUUGGCCCAUGCUCCCAUCUGACCCCAAGGACGAGUCCCUAAGCAGCUCCUAGGAAUAGAACCUGCUGGCCAAGCACUCCAAGGAGAUUGGUGGGUUGGAUGUUGCUGAGACCUCAGAGCAUGGCGUUGAGUGCUCUCCCCACCUCUCCUGUGAUAUCUCCUCAUUCUUGGUAACUCUUGCCUCACUACGGAUUCCGCAUGCGAAAUCAGCACCCUGGCUCUCUUUGCUGACACUGGUUAUUUCUCUUUUAAACUACUCUCCACGAUACUUGACUGCAUCAUCCUGAUAAGCAUUUAUCCUGCUCCAUACGACUUGACUCCUACUUGCUGAUGGUGGUCUCGAGCUGCAGAGGUGAUGGAAAAUCCCCAAAUCUACAAAAUGAGGUCAUAGGAGGAAAUGCAGACCCCCUGAAAUGAACGGUUUCCAUCUAGUCUCUAAAUAUCCUUUCUAAUUAUUGUUCCCGUUGCCUUUAUGAGGAUAUUUUCCCUUAAAAAUAUAUACACCAGAUUCAACCCCCUCUCAGAUUUGGCAGCUAAUUUGGAUGGUAUAGAAGGGAGAUUUUGUAGAUAAUAUCUGUGUAACAGAGUUGACUUCUGUGCUUUUGAUUUGUAUCGAUCCUGAGCUGAGUUAUUUGUUCAACUUUUGUUUAAGAUAAAUAUUUCUUCAGAUCUUUGUAGGUUUGCAUUUUUAAAAAAUAAUGCUCUCCAGACAUUUUUCCAGACCCGAGAGUUCAUAAAUUGUAGGCUAGCAUUUUUAGCCUUAAUGUAUGGUAAAAAUAAGUCUGUGCUGAUAUCUUGGACAUGAUUUAAAGCUAUAUCUUUUAUUUUUAACUGUGGAAAAGUGGCUCCUUUUAUCUGCCGUCCUCCCUGUUUGUUUCCUAUAUGCGAAGCUUAAAGGCAAGACAUGCAUUUUCAAUUCUGGCCACUUGAGGGAAUCAGGCUUUAGAAAUAGCAGAUCAUUUAGAUUUUUAUUUCAAAAGAUAGGAGAAUAAAUAUUGACUUGUUAACAAAAUGGUUUUCCCGUCACCCAGACAUCAAGAAGAUCCCAGAGCCCACGUUCGGAGAUAAAUUACUCCUUUAUAUAUUUAUAUCCAGGUGGAAAAGAGGAAUGACUGAUAAAUGGGAGUCCUGGGAGGUACUAAGUCAGGGCCCUGCAUACAAUUUAUGAUCAGUGCUCUUGGACUUCAGAAUGAUUAAUACCGUCAAUUCUCACUGGAAUAAGAGCUGUUUUAGCCCAGGAGAGGACUGUAUAUUACUGUUUAUAGAAGCAGAUAACAUCAAAGUAACCCACGGCUUGUGUUAAGCAAAUACAAAAUUCUGGGUCAACGCAAAUUAAUCCUAAAGGAGUAACGGAAAGUUCUUAAUGACUGUGAGAUCUAUACAUUAUCACUUUUCAUUCGAGUGGUGGAAAAUGGUAGAACUAUUGAUGAGAUUUGCAACUGGCCUCCUUUGCUGCGUUGUGAUAACAGCUGUGCAAUAGCAUGUUCUCCAAUCAAGAGCCUUAUUAUCUAUACAUCUGCAGGUUGUUAAUGAAGUGUAGAAGUCUGUGCACUUUUAAAAUUACAUUUGGGAGCUUCUGAACCAUUUUAAUAUUAUGUUUCACAACAAAAAUGCAGCGAAUCACAUUAUACUUCACAUAUUCUUAUACUUUAAGUGGCUGUGUGGAUGGAUGAAUUAAAGACUGUUCUCUUAUCUACAUUAUACUAAACAGAUGUUAUUUCAAGGGCGUAUCAUAAAGAGAGAUUUUUUUUUCCCCUCAAAUCACAUUACUCAGUGAAUAGUUAUAUAUCCCUUUGGUUUUAGGAAGAUGGGAAAUUUGUAAACAAAAGAAGAAUUGAUGUAAACAUUAACUGUAAUAUUUAAAUGUUUUAAGCAUACAUUUUUCAAAACAUCUGGGGGAUUUUGAGUACAGUUCAAAGAGCUGUGGAUCCAAUAAAUUCCUCGGUGACCAUUUUUGAUUUCUCAUUCCAUUCAGUCAGUUUUGCUUUAACACAUCUUUAUUCAAACAUUUAAAAUUAUUUCAUUGCCCCAUUUGGAAUAUGUCAUGUGUCUAUAUUACUGAUAAUUUCCAAGUGAAUUAUGGAAUGCCAGUCUUCUUCAGAUAAGCCUACUGAUGAAUUUAAAUUUGUUACAAUCAGCUUCACACCCUCUGCCCGACAUAAAAUUUAAAAAGUAGCUUUU